UGCCAGCCGCCGCGGUAAUACAGAGGGUGCAAGCGUUAAUCGGAAUUACUGGGCGUAAAGCGCUCGUAGGCGGAUUAUUAAGUCGAAUGUGAAAUCCCUGGGCUCAACCUAGGAACUGCAUUCGAAACUGGUAGUCUAGAGUAUGGUAGAGGAAAGUGGAAUUCCUGGUGUAGCAGUGAAAUGCGUGGAUAUCAGGAGGAACAUCAAUGGCGAAGGCAACUUACUGGACAUUUACUGACGCUCAGACACGAAGGCUAGGGUAGCGAAAGGGAUUAGAUA
rnacentral:rRNA from 1 species